GAUGAACGCUGGCGGCGUGCUUAACACAUGCAAGUCGAACGAAGCAUUUUAACUUGAUUUCUUCGGAAUGAUUGUUACUUUGACUGAGUGGCGGACGGGUGAGUAACGCGUGGGUAACCUGCCUCAUACAGGGGGAUAACAGUUAGAAAUGACUGCUAAUACCGCAUAAGCGCACAGCAUUGCAUGAUGCAGUGUGAAAAACUCCGGUGGUAUGAGAUGGACCCGCGUCUGAUUAGCUAGUUGGUGGGGUAACGGCCUACCAAGGCGACGAUCAGUAGCCGACCUGAGAGGGUGACCGGCCACAUUGGGACUGAGACACGGCCCAAACUCCUACGGGAGGCAGCAGUGGGGAAUAUUGCACAAUGGGCGAAAGCCUGAUGCAGCGACGCCGCGUGAAUGAAGAAGUAUUUCGGUAUGUAAAGUUCUAUCAGCAGGGAAGAUAAUGACGGUACCUGACUAAGAGGCACCGGCUAAAUACGUGCCAGCCGCCGCCGUAACAC
rnacentral:rRNA from 1 species